UCAUGUGGAAGGACAGCUGCAACAAGCGCCGGUUAGGAUCGAAAUGUGUGUUCGCACAUUUCGUAUUUAGCCGAGCCGUCUAAUCCGAAAAAUAAGAAAUAGAACCCCAGCCUUCUGACACACAUCCGCAGAACAUGCAGGCAGGAGAAAUAAGAUGCGCGCUUCCAGGUCUCUGAUUGUGGAAGGACUUCCUCUUCCUCCGCUGCUGCUAUCUCUUCUGCUUCAUCGAGGUCGUCGGCUGACUCCUCCUCUUUGCUCGCCUGCUCCUGCUCUUCCUCCUCCUCGCGGAUUGCUGUGAUUGAAUCUACAGGAGAUGCUGUGUGAUCUGACAAAAGAUCUUCCGUCCGCGCAGCUUUUUGGCUUCUUGCCGCUCUGUGGAAACAAAAGGAAAACUUGCCAGCUAAGCGACUGAAGGAAAAAAUAUGGCUUUCAGUACUUACUCUGUAAAAAGAAUGACAACCAUUUGCUAACCAUUUUCUUUUUCCGUCAUAUCGAUUUAUCAUGGUGGUGCUAAAAUAAUGUAUUGUAAUGAUUGUUACUGUUACGAGGAUGUAUUAGGGCUAGUAAAUAG